rnacentral:rRNA from 1 species
GACGAACGCUGGCGGCGUGCUUAACACAUGCAAGUCGAGCGGUAAGGCCCUUUCGGGGGUACACGAGCGGCGAACGGGUGAGUAACACGUGGGUGACCUGCCCUCAGCUCUGGGAUAAGCCUGGGAAACCGGGUCUAAUACUGGAUAUGACUCCACGACGCAUGUUGUGGGGUGAAAGCCUUGUGCGGCUGAGGAUGGGCCCGCGGCCUAUCAGCUUGUUGGUGGGGUGAUGGCCUACCAAGGCGACGACGGGUAGCCGGCCUGAGAGGGCGACCGGCCACACUGGGACUGAGACACGGCCCAGACUCCUACGGGAGGCAGCAGUGGGGAAUCUUGCGCAAUGGGCGAAAGCCUGACGCAGCGACGCCGCGUGAGGGAUGACGGCCUGGUUGUAAC